rnacentral:rRNA from 1 species
UGUCCUUUUGAUUAUAAUUUAAGGUCUAAUCUGCCCACUGAGGAUUUAAAUGGCCGCGGUAUUUUGACCGUGCAAAGGUAGCAUAAUAAUUAGUUUCUUAAUUAGAAGCUGGAAUGAAAGAUUGAAUGAGAAAAUAACUGUCUCAAGUUUAUUUAAUUAGAAUUUUAUUUUUAAGUUAAAAAGCUUAAAUAUUUUUAAAAGACGAGAAGACCCUAUAGAGUUUUAUUUAAUUUUUUAUUAAUUAAAAAUUGAUUUUAUAUUUAUUUAAUAGAAAAUUAAAUUUUGUUGGGGUGAUAGAAAAAUUUAAUAAACUUUUUUUAAAUUUUAACAUAAAUUAAUGAUUUAAUUGAUCCAAAAUUUUUGAUUAAAAGAUUAAAUUACCUUAGGGAUAACAGCGUAAUUUUUUUUGAGAGUUCUUAUCGAAAAAAAAGAUUGCGACCUCGAUGUUGGAUUAAAGUAAAAUUUUGGUGUAGAAGCUAGAAUUUUAGGUCUGUUCGACCUUUAAAACUUU